rnacentral:lncRNA from 1 species
UUUGACUUAAUUAGGCACAUAAUCCAUUUUUAUUAUAAAAAGAAAUAUAAGUAAAAAGAUCUUAGUUCUUUUUAAAUAUAACUUAAAAGUAAAAAAUUCAUUUUAAACAUAAGUAAAAAGUUCUUGGUUCCACUGUUGAGUUCACAUCUACUAUCUCUGAUUUUUUGAUACACAUACACAUGUAUAUUUUUACAAAACCUUCAAAGUAUGAAUACCAUCUAUAAUGGUAUUAUAGAUGAGAUGAUAUUAUAGAUGGGGUGGUAUUAUAGAUGGGGUGGUACUAUAGAUGAGGUGGUUUAUAGAUGAGAUGGUAUACAGAUGGUAUUGUCUAUUUUACUUGAUCUGCAUAUAGGUCUGUAUCAUUAAGAUGGUAGCCUCCUGCUAG